rnacentral:rRNA from 1 species
AUUGAACGCUGGCGGCAGGCCUAACACAUGCAAGUCGAACGAGUGGCGGACGGGUGAGUAAUGUCUGUGAAACUGCCCGAUGGAGGGGGUUAACUACUGGAAACGGUAGCUAAUACCGCAUACCAUCUGAUGUGCCCACAUGGGAUUAGCUUGUAGGUGAGGUAACGGCUCACCUAGGGGACGAUCCCUAGCUGGUCUGUGAGGAUGACCAGCCACACUGGAACUGAGACACGGGCCAGACUCCUACGGGAGGCAGCAGUGGGGAAUAUUGCACAAUGGGCGCAAGCCUGAUGCAGCCAUGCCGCGUGUAUGAAGAAGGCCUUCGGGUUGUAAAGUACUUUCAGCGGGGAGGCGUUACCCGCAGAAGAAGCACAGGCUAACUCCGUGCCAGCCGCCGCGGUAAUAC